rnacentral:rRNA from 1 species
UGAGCAAUCUGCCCUUCUCAUCGGAAUAAGCGUUGGAAACGACGUCUAAUGCCGAAUACGACCUCCUUUCGCAUGAUCGGAGGAGGAAAGCUCCGGCGGAGAAGGAUGAGCUCGCGGCCUAUCAGCUAGUUGGUGUGGGUAAUGGCCCACCAAGGCGACGACGGGUAGCCGGCCUGAGAGGGUGACCGGCCACACUGGGACUGAGACACGGCCCAGACCCCCUACGGGAGGCAGCG